AGGAACAGAAAAAAAUCUUUUUUAUAGUCAUGAAAUAACUUUUUGUGAAAGGAUUUAGUGCUGAAUAACCACUGAAUCUGUCCUUUUGGGAUCAGGUCCUAAUACCAUUAUUUCACAUGAAAUAAAGCAAAAACGGACACAAUAAGUGCUCACAUGAACUGAUAAGCCUAUUGCCUUGGCAAAUAUCCUAUCUUGUACAGAAAAAUGCUGCUUCUUAAGGAAAUAUAGGAGAAAUGUAACUAAACUGGGAGGAAUGUGUGAUGUUACAAGGGAAGAAGACAGAAAAAGGAGUACCUAAAAUAGUCUUCCACCUAAUGAGACAGUAUCUGAGCAAAUGGUUACAGUAAAUGAACAGCCCACUGCAAAAAAAUGAAGACAACUCAUCAUUAGAUACUUGUGUUUAAUGCAAUAAAAUUUUCCUCCACAGUAAUUUGGAUAAUGACAAGUAUGCAAGGAUUUCUAGCUAUCUGCAGAAUGAGUGCUUCCUGCUUGCAUAAAGCCAAGACAGAAUUCUAGUAACAAAUGAAUCCAAGCUUACAGAGUUUACUUUCUGGAAGACAGGAGCUCAGACCUUAGAGUUAACAGUGUUUUCUCCAGUCCAUAUACAUAAAUACAAGGUAGAAGGAGGAGAUCCAAAUGGAUAUAAUCAUGUUUGGAAGACAAUGUAAUUUAGGCAUGAUUUUUUCAUAAAACAUAUCUUAGGAUAAAGAAAAAUGUAUAAGACAAUACAUACAGGUAAACCAAGAUCAAACUUGUGCACUAAGACAGUGGAGAGACUUUGAGACUUUCUGUCUUUCUGUCACCUUCUAGUGUAAGGUGUCCCUGCCCGUGGUAGGGGAUCUGGAACAAGAUAAUCUUUAAGGUCCCUUCCAACCCAAACCAUUCUGUGAUUCUAUGAGAGGAACAGGGACACCCAAUAUCCAUCAUACACAGUAGUCCAAGGUAAAGCAUCCUACAGCACAGGGAGUCACACUGACAGAUACACAGAGAGCAGCAGCAAGCAGAAGAGAUGCCUACUGGGCCUCCAACUACACAGCUUUGUUUCCAACAGUGACUGGUCAGAUAUGGUCUAAAGGCAGGUCACUGACUGUGUCACAGAAGUAGCUAAAAAAAAAAGACAGCAUGGGACUAUCACUGAUACUGACAUGCACAUGCCAGAGGAAGACAGCAAACUACCAGAAAGCAGAGCAGGUGAGCAGGCAACCUCUCUUACCACUCCUGUCUUCUGCUCUCCAGCUACUGUCUGGUAAGAUUUGCUACAGCCUUUUUCAUGUGCAGCAUGUGCCAGCUGGCUCUCCAACACAUACUGACCUACUGGCCAGCCAUCAAUACUGUGAAACUCAUUAGAACUUUCACACUUUGACCUCUGAAAAGUUCAGUUAAAACUAAAAAAGGUAAAGAGAGGAAGGGAUGAAAAAACAAGGAAACAAGAUGAGAAAAGAAAGGGAAUAAUAAUACAGCCAGGCAUGCACCUGUACUCCAGAGUCAAUCCUUCCCAAAUGCUCUUCUACAAAAAUGUGUAGAAAAAUGAAGUCCUGUAAUUUGGUAUUUCUAGCACUAAAUGAUACAUCCAAACAAUCUACUGCACUGAUGCCCUGUAUAUCCACAUUUUAUACUUGUAUGCCAAGGCAGGUUACAACUGUAAGGUGAGGCUGUGAUGAAGUGGAACCAUUCAUUUGUAAAAUACAGUCUCUAACCAAUUACACAGUACUGUCCAUGGCACUUUUAAAGAGUCAGGUUGGGUUGUUAGCACUUUUACUGAACUGGAGAAAGGAUGUAAAAGACUUUUUCUAUAAAUGCAAUUGACAUUGUAUUUUUCCUCUUUCCAUUCUUACAGAAUUUGGAAUAUGCCUACUUGCACCAAAUGAGGCAGAAAUGAUAGCACUUAUUUAUUGAGUAUUUAAGUAAUUUUCUGUUUCCUUUUUGCAGGAGACACACAGCUUUCCCAAGCCUUAAAAAAAGAUACUAUACCUACAUUUUGGUCUGCAAUUUGUCCUAGAAGUACUUCUAGAAUGGUCUUAACUAUGAUAUCAGUUCAAUAAAAAUAGUACUUUGACCUCAGCUGAUUUUGUUGCUUGCACGUGGGUAAUGGAAGUACAAAAUUAAGGGCUGAAAAUUCUCCCUAAUUUUCGGCUUC